GACGUAGAGCUACGUCCUUAGGUUAUGAAUAAUUUGUAUGGGUUUUGACAGUUGUCUUAGGAGCUAAAAUCAUUUGUUUUCCACCAACCUACCGAAUGGCACGACAAAACUAACAAAACAAGACCCCGCAAAACUAAUAGCUGCCAGUUGUUGACACAAAAACUGCUACUGCAGACAUCUCAAUCCGGUCGUCGUCUCGUUUGGAGAGGACUGCGCUUCGGCAAACAACCGGAAGCUGGCAAGGGCCCUAAGCGAAGGGACAACAACAAAAAACAGAAGCCACCAACAAACAAAUUGCCAAUAAUCAUCAUGUCGUCGAAGACGACGACGACGACGCCGGAUUAGGAGAUUAGUCUCCAAUUGGUAAACAAUGCGACAGCAGUUGGGAAAUCAUCUGCGAUCGACGUAGGAUCGCAGUAGGCGCGCGGGACUUCCUGCCGCAGCUGCCGGCAGUGAUCUGCCAGGCGGCAGUUGUUGUUUGUGUUCGCACAAGCCUACUGCGAUCGCCGGUUAGGCCCUUUUGAGAAACGGGUUCCUGCCGCGGCGGACGCGGUAAGUGGCUGGGCAAAUAAGCUACCGAAGAAGCUCGCUCGCUCGCGCUAUAAAUGUCUGGACCGGGCUGUUUACCGAUCGGUUAAUGAAUUUAUGCUCGGGGCAGGUCGGUCAGGGCAGUCGCGACCUUUGAAGUCCGGCACGGACACCUCGAAGCCCCGGGUGGCGUAUCGUGGAGGCAGAGUUGUUGUUGUCCGGUCUAGCCGACGAUGCUGCUGCCGAUGAGACGAGAGGUCAAGUCAAACAAAACUGAACUCUUCAAGGCUCAAGUAUUAUUAGUUGGCAAACACGCGCUGGGAGCAGGGAGGUUCGGCCGGGAACAAGUGAGCGCGCUGGAAAUUGGAACCGGCUGGCGGCCUCACUCGGGGUGGAGAGGAAAACAAAACAAACAGUUCCGUCCAAAUCGAUUUGGAGAAAACGAAAGGUGACCGCGCAGCGAUACAACAUUACCUCACCUCUAGCUUGGUGAGCUUUGGCACGUCAAGGUCUGCAAGAUAAGGUGGCCAACUGUCAUAAGCAGCAAGUUACAGUUUUGACGUUUGAUGGCAGAUUUUAACGAAGCUAGGGUUGCUAUCUAACAUCUCCCCCUCUAGAAUUGUUUUAAUGUUUAAUCUCACAUAAAAAAAGCAAAACAACACUUGACAAUUCGUUCCAGCCAGCGAUGUGACAUUUCGAAAUGUCAUCGUGCUUCCAGCGAGAGGAAAGAUCACAAACGGAACAAUAGCAGCGCCUACUACGGGCACUAUUUUAUGCCGCCAGCUGACAGGGCGCAGGGGUGUCGUCCCCGGUACAAGAAAUCAAAAGUCGACGCUGGAGAAAAGGGGUUCGUCGCCGUGCAUUUUUAUUGCACGGAAAAUGUUCGACUCGCUUUUGUAUAUUUUUAUAUUGCUUGUAAUUAAAUAAACGAAUGGCCAUAAAAGUUGUGUCCCCGUGA